UGAGGAAUAUUGGUCAAUGGACGGAAGUCUGAACCAGCCAUGCCGCGUGCAGGAAGAAAGCCCUAUGGGUUGUAAACUGCUUUUAAAUAGGAAUAAACCCCCUUUCGUGAAAGGGGCUGAAGGUACUAUAAGAAUAAGGACCGGCUAACUCCGUGCCAGCAGCCGCGGUAAUACGGAGGGUCCAAGCGUUAUCCGGAUUUAUUGGGUUUAAAGGGUCCGCAGGCGGGAGAAUAAGUCAGUGGUGAAAUCC
rnacentral:rRNA from 1 species